rnacentral:lncRNA from 1 species
GCGGCCCCGGGGCCAUAGCAGAAACGGCGCCCACACCGAGCCCACUGCGCGGGGGCAGGGUCCGAGGGGAGGCAGGGAGUCCACGUCUCCCGUUUCAGAAUCACGGAAGAAAAUCUUCCCGAUUCAGUUCACGGUCCUGAGGGGCAAAAAUGUCUGUUCUGCGAGGGUCACUCAGUUCCGGUCUGGUGGGGGGCGGGGGAGCACGCUGACAGCCAGUUGCCCCGGCGGGAGCCCUGGACCCUGGCUUUUCAUCACAGCCAGAAUCUGUGCUGGGAUCCAGUUGGCCAUCCUGGCCUCCCCAGUCCUCAGGGUCUGGGGAACAGAAAAAGAGCGCGGGGCGGGGGGCCUGGAGGCGGUGGGGUGGAGUGGAGUACAGAACGGCCUUCGUGUCCCUGGCGUCUCCGGAGGGGCUGGCUCCCAGCUCCAUUCUGAGGAGUUGGAAUCCCACCCAGUCCUGUUGUUGUGAUCUCAAUUCAAGAGGAAGGUGUGAUAUGGCGUCUGUCUGGGUUGGAUACCGAGGGACAAUGAGAGAUCAUCCAGGCUUUAGCCCAUCUGUGGAUGCUGAGGCGAUUCGUAAGGCAGUCAAACAAAUCGGAACUGAUGAGAAGACGCACAUCAGCAUUCUGACUGAGAGGUCGAAUGCACAGCGGCAGCUGACUGUUAAGGAAUAUCAAGUAGCAUAUGGAAAGGAAGUGAUAAAAUAUCCCAACCCAACCAGCUCCUGCCCCAGGCAUCCUGUCAGGCCCUAUUGGCCAGAAUAGGGUAAGAUGCUCUCCACACCCCCAGCCACUCCUAACAAAGAGGAAGGGGAGGACCGGGAUGGAUUUCCUGCAGUCACGAUGCAUUCCCAGGUAGCCCAUUGAUUGCAUCAGGAGACCCGAACAGUUCACAUUUUAUUCAUGAGUAUUACUGUGGUUCCGGGUAGAAGAAAUGGCUGCUGGGAAAAUACCAACAAUGUUUGUAAGGACAGUCACGGACCAAAAGUCCGCAGAGGGUAUGGAUUGUCCUUGGAGCUGAAGAAGUCACGGAAGAUAGGGAGUUCCCAUUGUGGGACAGCAGAAGUGAAUCCGAGCAUCAUCCGUGAGAAUUUGGGUUCGAUCCCUGGCCUCACCAGUGGGUCAGGGAUCCAGUGUUGCUGUGAGCUGUGGAGUAGGUUGCAGAUGCAGCUUGGAUCCUGCAUUGCUGGCCCUGUGGUGUAGGCUGGCUGCUGCAGCUCCUAUUAGAGCUCUGGUCUGGGAAGGUCCAUGUACCACGGCUGUGGCCUAAAAAAACAGUUACAGAAAAUAAAGACAGGGGUGCAGUGGUGCCGGCAGCACAUGGGACUAAGGUCUUCAGUGAUGACCACAACGACAGAGAAGGGACAAAUGACUGCCCAGGAGGAGUGAUGAGGCUGUGUCUAGGAAGGCCACAACCACCUUACCAGACGGGCGGCCUGCUCCCUCUGUUGCCCUGGACCCUCGGGUGUGAGGACCGAUCCUCUGCUCAGAGUCCAGCCUCCUCUGUCCUCCUUGCUUCAUUCUACCUGCAGCCCACCCAUCUUUCUUUGGAUCUGCCUUUCUUUGAGAAGUUAUCCUCUGUAUUGGCUAUCAGGUGGCAGAACCUGUGGACCCAAAAGGAGCAGUUGCACUGGCAGGGACUAGGUGGACUUCGGGUCGCCAUGGAAAACUCUUGGUGGAGCACAGGCAAGAGUUGGGGCGGGAGGACCUGCACCCCAUAAGAAAUACCCACCAGCUCUCAGAUCCUCGAGGGUUGUAGGAGCACCGAGACAUUCAAGCUGGGAAAUGAAGACUGUGAUAGGGCAGAGUGAGACCCAAGCUUCCCCGGGCAAUGGCAGCGUGAGCUCCUGUCCAACUGCCAAAAGAUGAGAGUUGGCAUCUUACCAGAAUGUUUGGAGGGAUAGGAUGAGAGACGCCUGGCCAUUGGCCGGAAGCGCAUGGUGGGGGAGGGGGUUGCGGAAGCUGCCUCGUGAUUGGCCCGGGCCACGGGGAUGUCACAGGGAGGCAUUGUGACUUGAGGGCAAGGCAGUUAUAAAAGCCCAGUGCUUCCACCGUCUCCCAGACGGAGGAUAUGGCUUUUCAGCUGUUCCUGCUCUUGCUCUUCAAGGCGGUGUCCUCUGCCGCCUUCUCUGCGCCUGCACAUGGCAUGCCCCAGGCCCACCUGUCCUGCCCCGGGCCUCUCACCCACACUUGGUGUACCACAUUCCUGUUCGCAUCCAGCUUUGAGCCCCUUUGCGGGCGGAUGAGCCUACGCACCCGCACCCGGCGCCUCCUCCACCCGCAGCCCUCCUCGGGCCUGGCCCAGCUCCUCAACACUGUGCUCAGGUUCUACAACAGGGGCUUGGACGUCUGGAACCAGAACCAAGCAGACCCCCACGCGGAGGGGAAGCACCCCUCCCAGCCCUGUUGGCCAAGAGACCUGGACACGUGCCACGCCUCCAACUCCACACUGCACAGAAGGCAGCUGGCCACCCCUCCUCAGACAUCCAUGGACCCCAGAUCCAAGAUCUCCACCUUGGCCCUCCUGCUCCACAAAGGAGAGUCACAGACUCACAGGGCGAGUUCCUGUACCUCCUGCCCACCUCCAUGCAACCUCUCAAAGGGCUCUCCAGCCCAUGUGGGACCACCAGCCUGGGUGAGGCGACUGGUCCAGUUAGGGCCACCAGUCCUGGCAGGGCCAAAAGUCCAGGCAAGGCGACCAGCCCAGGUGGGACCACCAGCCCAGGUGAGGACACCAGCCCAGGAAGGACCAGCAGCCCAGAUGGGACCAGUGGCCCUGGUGAUGCUACCACCACAGGUGGGACCAACAGCCCAUGUGGGGACGUUUCCCCAGGCAGGAGCAACAGCCCAAGUGGGGCCACCAAGCCUUGCGGGACCAAUGGCCCCAAUAGGGACAGCAGCCCAGGUGAUGGGGCCACUAGACCAGGCCACGACUCCAGCUGAUGCCAGGCUACCAGCCCAGGCAGGCCCAGCAUACCAGGUGGGGCCACCACUCCAGGCAAGUCCACCCGCCCAGAUGUGUCCGUCACCCCAGGCGAGGCUACCAACCCAGGUGGGGACACCAGCUCCUCUGGUGCCACCAGCCCAGUCAGGUCCACCAGCCCAGGUGGGGCCAACACCCCAGGCGGGGACACCAGCCCAGGCAGGGACACCAGGAUCGGCGAGGAUACCAGCCCAGGCGGAACCAACAUGCCAGGCCAGGCCAACAGCCCAGACGGGGACACCAGCCAUGACAGAAACCCUGUGGUCACAGCUAGGCUUUGGAAACAUUGAGAGUUUGCUCCUUCUGUUGACUCGCUGUGCUCUGGUGCUGCUCUUUUCCUUCUGGACAUUUAUCUCAUGCAGAGAGAUAAAGGACUACCGUGAGUUCCAACAAGAGCAGCUGGCAGAGCUGGGCAAAGGAUUGAAGAUGAUGGGUAAAGCCCUGGGAGAACUUGAGAAGACACUAAAUGCAGAAAGAGAACAUAAAAAUCAUCUUUCCAAGGAGCUGUCUGAGCUAAAGGCAGAGCUCAGAAUUUCUGAAAAGGAAACAGAGAGAUGGAAAAAGCUGUUUUUUCUAUUGUCCCGGGCACAACACCUUUUGAAGGCCUUCCCAGAAGAUGCAAAGGGGCACUGUGUGCAGGUGGAGCAGGGCCCUUAGAGGCAGGCCCAGGCCUGGGAGCUGGAGAGUUUCUUCCUCCCUGUGCACGCCCCCUAGAGGGGGAGAAGAGGGGUGGGGAGGGAGGGCAAAGCGGAGGCUAGGGUAGGGGUGCUGGGACAGAGACGUGGCCUGAAUUUCAUGAUGUAUGUAUAUUUUGAAUAAAUAAUUGAAUGUUGGAAG